AUUGAACGCUGGCGGCGUGCCUUACACAUGCAAGUCGAACGGCAGCACGGGUGCUUGCACCUGGUGGCGAGUGGCGAACGGGUGAGUAAUACAUCGGAACGUACCUUAUCGUGGGGGAUAACGCAGUGAAAGUUGCGCUAAUACCGCAUACGCCCUGAGGGGGAAAGCGGGGGACCGUAAGGCCUCGCGCGAUUAGAGCGGCCGAUGUCUGAUUAGCUCGUUGGUGAGGUAAAAGCUCACCAAGUCGAUGAUAAGUAGCUGGUCUGAGAGGACGAUCAGCCACACUGGGACUGAGACACGGCCCAGACUCCUACGGGAGGCAGCAGUGGGGAAUUUUGGACAAUGGGGGCAACCCUGAUCCAGCAAUGCCGCGUGAGUGAAGAAGGCCUUCGGCUUGUAAAGCUCUUUUGUCAGGGAAGAAACAGCAGCUCUAACACAGUCUGCGAAUGACGGUACCUGAAGAAUAAGCACCGGCUAACUACGUGCCAGCCGCCGCGGUAA
rnacentral:rRNA from 1 species